UUCCCUUCAAAAACAUCCUUGUUUCUUUGCAAGAAUAUGUUGAUAGAAACUCCAUGCUUGGUUUGCCCUUAGGAACAAAUGAGGCCCCAACAAGAAAAAAUAUAUGAGAAAAAUGUAGCAACAAUGAUGGUCGGCACCGGCAUAGGGUUGACAAAGCAAAGCAUAUAUCAUCUUGCAGGUAAAGAAUUAGACCCAAAUAUCAACACCACGCGAGACCUCGUCAUUUCCACAACCCAAUUAUUCUUCGUUUUUGAUCUUCUAAGAUGUGACAUGCAUCGUCCAUCACAGUUUCUUUCUUGUUUCCCGUUUGCAUCUGCCCUCGAUGUGAUGUAUAUUUCUUGUUUUCUUUUGAUCAUUAGCUCAAGUUUCACCUUCUAAUAGGACCUAGCUAGGACAUGUCAAAUAAUUGAAGAGUUUUUAGAAUGAAGGAUGAAAAGUUAAAAAUAAAAAUUAACAUAAUGCGAUGCCAAGAAAAACUAAAUAAAAAGAACAGCAAUGGGCCAGACUUUGGAAACUACUUGGGGCACCUAACUUUUUUUUUCAUACACCCAGCGUUUUUCAAAAUACUGAAAAUGUCCUUAUGGGUAUUUUUGGUUAUAAAUAACAUAUUAGUUUUGUCAUUUCUGCAGUGUUUUUCUUUUCGUAAAACCACACUUAGUGAAACUUGCUUUUGUUAGCGUUCUUUUGUGAGCAUUUAUUGUUGUCGGUAGUAUACAUGCGUUGUUUACAAAUAUACGGUGAAGUUCGAUGUUUUUUUGUCGCCGGAAGAGAAGUGGUGUGUAUACAGAAUCAUACGAAUUGUUAAUCCGUAUGUUUUGAAUUUUUUUAAAAAUUAUAAUUUAUUUAGAAAUUUUUUUAUACAUUUAAUUUAUUUACAAAAUUUGAUAAUUAAAUAAAUUUGAUAUUUAACUAAAUGUUGUGUUUAGAUAUUUAUUACAGUAAUUAAUAGUUAAAGAAAUUUGGUAUUUAAUUGAAUGAUAUAUUUGAAUGUUUAUUACAGUGAUUGAAAAUUAAACAAAUAUGAUAUUUAAUUGAAUGUCGUAUUUAGAUGUUUAUUACAAUAAUUAAUAAUUAAAAAAAUUGAUAUUUAAUUGGAUGAUGUAUUUAGAUGUUUAUUACAGUGAUUGAAAAUUAAACAAAUUUGGUAUUUAAUUGAAUGAUGUAUUUAGAUGUUUAUAUAUGUAAAAAAUAUAUUAUUAGAUCAAAAUUAAUUAUAAUAAAGUCAAAAAAUGAAUUAGUAGAUUUAUGUUAAUAUUUUUUUUUACAUAUGUAAAUUUUUAUUAAAUCUAUUAUUUUUAUUUACAAUUUAUAUAUGUAAAAAAAUUAAUUAUUAAAUAAAAAUUAAUUAUCACAAAAUUUAUUAUAUAAAUUUAUAUGUGCAUUAAAUAUACAUAAAAAAAUUUAAUAUUACAUAUAAAUAUUUUAAUUAUUUAUAACAUAAUUAGUUUAUUAGUCUAAUAAACGUCGUAUCUAUGUAUGAAUCCUUGUAAAAGUUGUAUCACUAAUCGCGGAUGUUUGGACAUCUUUAGGAGUUGAGUAAUUGCCGACCACCUCCUUCUUCAAUGAGAGAGGACUCAACCCCCGCACUGUAUGGCUUAGCAUUAGUAAGUUCUUAUAGAAUGCACUGUGAGAGAGGGGUGUCCCAGUAAAAAUGAUGAGUGUCCAAAGCAACAGCCCCAGACUUUUACUUUCGUCAAUUCAACCCAAUUACUUUGACCCACAUGCUUCCUUGGGCUUGCAUUUCGAUUGCAGUAAACUACAUGUGGGGCAUGAUUAGCCCAAAUAGAAUAACAAGACUCCUUCAGUGAAAAUUACACGAAUUAUUGUAUUGGUGGAUCAACACAAGUGUACUAUGGACACAAUACCUUUCAA
rnacentral:lncRNA from 1 species